GAAAAGUUGCACGCAGUUUCGAAUCAGAAUGGGCCAUGUUUUACAUUGAAGUGACCAUGAACACAUCCAACUUCAGAUGCAACUCACGCCGGUGGUGGCUGGUCCACUCCAGGAAUCUGAGGUGCGGGAGGUCCCUCCACCCCCUUUAGACAUCAAGGAGGCCCCAGCGUACACCGUUCGUUCCAUCCUGGAUUCGAGGCGUCGGGUGGGGGGCCUUCAGUAUCUCGUGGAGUGGGAGGGGUACGGGGUUCCAGUUGCAGAUAUUUUGGAUCCCAACAUACUGCAGGUCGUGCUGGGUUCCAGUUGCAGAUAUUUUGGAUCCCAAACUACUGCGGGUCGUGCUGGGUUCCAGUUGCAGAUAUUUUGCAUAUUUUGGAUCCCAAACUACUGCGGGUCGUGCGGGGUUCCAGUUGUACUGUCACGACUUCCACUGAAGUCGGCUCCUCUCCUUGUUCGGGGGCGGCGUUCAGUGAUCAACGUCACCGGCUUUCUAGUCAUCGCCGCUCCAUUUUUCAUAUAUCCAUUAGUCUUGUCUGGUUUUCAUACACACCUGGUUUUCAUUUCCCCAAUCAAUCUAAUUGUAUUUAACCCUCUGUUUCCCAUCAUGUUUUGUGUGUAAUUGUUUUCUUUAUUGUUUUCUUUAUUGUUUCGUGUUGAGCGUUUUUGUUGUGCUCCCGUUUUGGAACUUUAAUAAAGUGCACUUUAUUUAUCAUA